rfam:Pseudomonas aeruginosa PAO1, complete genome.
GCCGGCGGAACGAGCGGCCCUCCGUCUGCGCGUCCCUUCCUGGGGUUCGCAGGCGGAGGGCU